rnacentral:misc_RNA from 1 species
AAAAUAGUGUCUCCUUUCUUCACUGACUUUGAUAGGCCACUAAAAUUUAUUGGCAGUAGAUUUGGUGUAGCCUCUUUAUCUUGAUCAGGUGUCAGGACAACUAAGGAAUCUGCUUGGAGUGAAAUUGGGUGUUCGCUCUUAUUGACAACUUGUAGUUCAGGACCACCAGUGUCUAGCAUAACCGCACAGAGCUUCUUUGAUUUUUUGACGGCUGCCCUUAGAUUUUCCAAUGUCUCUUGGUGAAAUUCGGCAUCUCCCCAUGAAAAGUCAAAUCGUGCCACAGACAUUCCCGAUUCAAG